CACGUAGGGCGCAAGCGUUGUCCGGAAUUAUUGGGCGUAAAGAGCUCGUAGGCGGCUUGUCGCGUCGGAUGUGAAAGCCCGGGGCUUAACUCCGGGUCUGCAUUCGAUACGGGCAGGCUAGAGUUCGGUAGGGGAGAUCGGAAUUCCUGGUGUAGCGGUGAAAUGCGCAGAUAUCAGGAGGAACACCGGUGGCGAAGGCGGAUCUCUGGGCCGAUACUGACGCUGAGGAGCGAAAGCGUGGGGAGCGAACAGG
rnacentral:rRNA from 1 species